rnacentral:lncRNA from 1 species
AUAGGCGUGAGAUCAGAUGGACGCCCCAGAAUGAUCGAGAGGUUUCUGGGCUCUUCGACCCGGAUUCUCGAUCCGGUAACCGGCGAAGGAGAUCCGACGGAAUCAUAUCCGUCCGGCCGCGACGCGCUGACGGAUCACCAGCGUUAGAACGGCCUCGACGUCGCCGACAUCCCUCUUGUAUCGGUUUGGUCGAUCGUCGACCCUGGGGCGAGAAUCGAAGCCGUGAAGCUCUGAAUUCUCCGGCAGUUCCUCGGCUGUUUCCGGCAACGGA